rnacentral:antisense_RNA from 1 species
UGUUAUGGCGGCUGUGCGCGGGAGGGUUUCGGCCCUGCCGGGUUUCCGAGUGUUCCGGUUCGCCAACCCGCGUACAGCUGCCACCCAU